AAAAAUUUAGUUAAAUAUAUAACAUUAGUUUGUCAAACUAAAAUUAUCUUUAAAAAUAAUUUUUA
rnacentral:tRNA from 1 species